GACCAUGCCCCUUUAAGAUAUAUGUAUGAUUUCUGGUAGCUAUUUCACUUCACCAUAUUUGAUAUGGUAUAAAGUUUACAAACUGGGAAUAUCCGUCUGUGAAUCUAGAUACAUGAUAUACAUUUAGUUGUUGUACAACUUACACUAGAAUUUUGUGAUUGUUUCUAGAUUUUAUCUGAGUAUCUUGGUUAGUGUACUUCAUUUAAAAAACUCAUGGAACAAAACAUAUCUUGUCAAAACUUGCUUGAUAUUUAUGCAUACCAGUAGAAACAAAUAAACAAUUUUUCUUGGAUGAAAAAAUUAUCAGGUAUUAUCACAUAGUACAUGCAUGGCUUUAUGCAUGUACACAAACCAACAAAAAUUAUAAAGGAAAUGAAAAAGAACUCGAAAGGAAACCUACUGGCAAUUUAAAACUGGCAGUAAUUUUCAAUCAAAAUAAACAAUGAUACAAGAUAGUGACUUAAUAGAGAUGAAAAACUUUAGUUUUAAGUAUUAGUACAUGUAUUUACAGUUGUCUGUAAUGAGUCUUGCAUUUAACUGAUUGUUAUUAUUUACUGAUGAAUUUUAAUAAAAAGUAACUGUGAC
rnacentral:misc_RNA from 1 species